AAAAGGGGUGGAAGCACUAAAUUAGAGAAAAUAGUAGGGUUAUUCCUUCUCAGAUUUUAACUUGCACCUUAUCUAAGAAUAUCUAAAAGAUUGCUUUAUUUGAAAAGUUUAAGAAGUGAAUUUAUCUUCUUCUUUUUUUUUUUUUCCUUGGUUGUGUAGAUGGAGCUGGAACAUCGUAAAUGGAUGUAUAAUAGGAAGUAUCCUAAUAGUAGGAGAAUGAGGGAAGAGUUUGUACAAGGGGUUGAUGGAUUUAUAGAUUAUGCAAUAUCGCUUUAUCCAUUUCUUAGUGACGGGUUGAUUAGGUGUCCUUGUGCGAAGUGUAAGUGCCUAAAUUUCGAGAAGCCGGAGGGUGUUAAACUUCAUCUAUAUAAGAAGGGGUUUAAAGAUAAUUAUUAUGUGUGGACUGCUCAUUAAGAGAUUGAUCAUCGUGUGUAUGUGAAUUUUCAAAAUUUUCGUACUAGUGAGGCCUUUCAGAAGAAGAGCACCCAGGCAAAGGCUGCCCGAGCAUCUAAAAAGGGUGGCUCAUUGCACGCUGAGGGUUUAGUCACUAAGAGGACUAAGAGGAAAUUGGUAACUUAUUUGAUAUAUUUAUCUUGGUUUUUAACUAUAUCCAUUAGAACUUCGAAUGAACUCAUAUUCUCUCUUUUUUGCAUAAAAAGACUUAUGAGAGACCUAUGUCUCAUGAAGAGGCCUUCCCGGAGAUCCAUAGAAAGAAAAAGGAUGGAAAAAAGUUUCGGGUUGAACCAAAUGUUGAGCAAAUAUAUAUGGGCCAAGCAAACCAUCAGAGCGUUCAUUCAACCGUCAGUCGCUAAGAUUGUCUGGUGCUUCUUCUUCUUCAAAGUCCUCCGUGAAUCAGGAUGAGUUGGCAACACGAAGGAAAUUGGAGGCAACGGAGAGGAAGUUGGAAGUAACACAAAGGCUAUUGAAGGUAACACAAAAGUCUUACAAUGCUUUGGAAGCGCAUACCAAGCGCAUUGACAAAGAUAUUGACCUCCUCAAGUAUCAGUUGAAUUUUCUGGUGAACUAUGUCCAGAAAAAAGGUUUUCAUUUGCCCCCUCCUCCACAGACCGACUUUGAUAACAGUGAGCCCGUAAAAGAUGCUGCACCCGGUGAUAAUUGAUGUCUAGUUUCAUGUCCUUGUAAUUUUCCGAACAAUUAUUACUAUUUUGAUGCAAUUCAGAUGUUCCCAGAUCUCACUUGCGGGACUACACUGGGGUAUGUUGUUGUUGUAUGUAAUUCGGAUGUUACUAAUUUACUGUAACUAUAGUAGUGUGAAUUGUAUUUGGAUGUUUUAGUUUGAAACUUUAAUGUAUAUGUUUAAGGAUGUAAUAGUUGGAAUUUGAUUGGUAA